GUGUCAGCCGCCGCGGUAACACGGGGGGAGCAAGCGUUGUUCGGAAUCACUGGGCGUAAAGGGCGUGUAGGCGGUCAAGUAAGUGGGAUGUGAAAUGCCCCGGCUCACCCGGGGACCUGCAUCCCAAACUGCUUGGCUCGAGUAUGGGAGAGGAUGAGGGAAUUCCUGGUGUAGCGGUGAAAUGCGUAGAUAUCAGGAGGAACACCGGUGGCGAAAGCGCUCAUCUGGCCCAAUACUGACGCUGAGGCGCGAAAGCUAGGGGAGCAAACGGGAUUAGAAACCCUCGUAGUCC
rnacentral:rRNA from 1 species